rnacentral:rRNA from 1 species
AUACGGAGGGGGUUAGCGUUGUUCGGAAUUACUGGGCGUAAAGCGCACGUAGGCGGACUGGAAGGUUGGGGGUGAAAUCCCGGGGCUCAACCCCGGAACUGCCUCCAAAACUUCCAAUCUAGAGAUCGAGAGAGGUGAGUGGAAUUCCAAGUGUAGAGGUGAAAUUCGUAGAUAUUUGGAGGAACACCAGUGGCGAAGGCGGCUCACUGGCUCGAUACUGACGCUGAGGUGCGAAAGCGUGGGGAGCAAACAGGAUUAGAUACCCCGGUAGUCC